CCCUAAGCAAGCUCUUCCACUUCCUCUUUCUUUGAUGAGGUCGAGCAGGAGAGCAAGGAAACCAAUGAAUCCACCUUGUAGCAGACACAUCCAGAGAAACAAUCGUCAAGCCCAGAGAGAAAACAGAAAACAUUGUGAAAGUAAACUGUCAAGGCAAGAUGUCAUAUCCAUACAAUAUCACUUGCACAUCAUAAUAUCUGAUGAAUAAACAAAGUCUACAGAUCUUAU